UGGGGAAUAUUGGACAAUGGGCGAAAGCCUGAUCCAGCCAUGCCGCGUGUGUGAAGAAGGUCUUCGGAUUGUAAAGCACUUUAAGUUGGGAGGAAGGGCAUUAACCUAAUACGUUAGUGUUUUGACGUUACCGACAGAAUAAGCACCGGCUAACUCUGUGCCAGCAGCCGCGGUAAUACAGAGGGUGCAAGCGUUAAUGGGAAUUACUGGGCGUAAAGCGCGAGUAGGUGGUUUGUUAAGUUGGAUGUGAAAUCCCCGGGCUCAACCUGGGAACUGCAUUCAAAACUGACUGACUAGAGUAUGGUAGAGGGUGGUGGAAUUUCCUGUGUAGCGGUGAAAUGCGUAGAUAUAGGAAGGAACACCAGUGGCGAAGGCGACCACCUGGACUAAUACUGACACUGAGGUGCGAAAGCGUGGGGAGCAAACA
rnacentral:rRNA from 1 species